rnacentral:rRNA from 2 species
ACGGGUGAGUAACACGUGGGAACGUACCCUUCGAUCUGGGAUAACUUCGGGAAACUGGAGCUAAUACCGGAUACGCCCUUUGGGGGAAAGGUUUACUGUCGAAGGAUCGGCCCGCGUCUGAUUAGCUAGUUGGUGGGGUAACGGCCUACCAAGGCGACGAUCAGUAGCUGGUCUGAGAGGAUGAUCAGCCACACUGGGACUGAGACACGGCCCAGACUCCUACGGGAGGCAGCAGUGGGGAAUAUUGGACAAUGGGCGCAAGCCUGAUCCAGCCAUGCCGCGUGAGUGAUGAAGGCCUUAGGGUUGUAAAGCUCUUUUGUCCGGGACGAUAAUGACGGUACCGGAAGAAUAAGCCCCGGCUAACUUCGUGCCAGCAGCCGCGGUAAUACGAAGGGGGCUAGCGUUGCUCGGAAUCACUGGGCGUAAAGGGCGCGUAGGCGGCCAUUUAAGUCGGGGGUGAAAGCCUGUGGCUCAACCACAGAAUUGCCUUCGAUACUGGAUGGCUUGAGUUCGGUAGAGGUUGGUGGAACUGCGAGUGUAGAGGUGAAAUUCGUAGA